rnacentral:rRNA from 1 species
CUAAGUUUGAUGGCGACCGGCGCACGGGUGAGUAACACGUAUCCAACCUGCCGAUGACUCGGGGAUAGCCUUUCGAAAGAAAGAUUAAUACCCGAUGGCAUAAUGAUUCCGCAUGGUUUCAUUAUUAAAGGAUUCCGGUAAAGGAUGGGGAUGCGUUCCAUUAGGUUGUUGGUGGGGUAACGGCCCACCAAGCCUUCGAUGAAUAGGGGUUCUGAGAGGAAGGUCCCCCACAUUGGAACUGAGACACGGUCCAAACUCCUACGGGAGGCAGCAUG